UGAAAAUUAACCACGACAACCAGCCCACCACCUUGUCCGCCAGAAGAUUACGGGCGAAAGCCUAAAACUCAAAAGACUUGACGGUGUUCCACCCUACCUAGAGGAGCCUGUUCCAUAAUCGAUAACCCACGCUUAACCCAACCACCCAUUGAAAAAUCAGCCUAUAUACCGCCGUCACCAGCUUAUCUUCUGAAAGACACAACAUAAGCCAAAUAGUAAAAUACUAAAAAGUCAGGUCAAGGUGUAGCCUAUGGGGUGGAGGUAAUGGGCUACAUUAUCUAUUAAAGAUCCCACGAAUUUUAUCUUGACAAAGACAGAUAAAGAUGGAUUUAGCAGUAAGCUAGACAAGAAAACCUAACUAAAACCAGCCAUGGAACAUGUACACACCGCCCGUC
rnacentral:rRNA from 1 species